UACGGGGGGGGCAAGCGUUGUUCGGAAUUACUGGGCGUAAAGGGCUCGUAGGCGGCCAACUAAGUCAGAUGUGAAAUCCCCGGGCUUAACCUGGGAACUGCGUUUGAAACUGGGGAGCUGGAGUGUAGAAGAGGGGGGUGGAAUUCCAGGUGUAGCAGUGAAAUGCGUAGAGAUCUGGAGGAACACCGAUGGCGAAGGCAGCCCCCUGGGCUAACACUGACGCUCAUGCACGAAAGCGUGGGGAGCAAACAGG
rnacentral:rRNA from 1 species